rnacentral:rRNA from 1 species
UACGUAGGGUGCGAGCGUUUGUCCGGAAUUAUUGGGCGUAAAGAGCGUGUAGGCGGCCCGGUAAGUCCGCUGUGAAAGUCGGGGGGCUCAACCCUCGAAUGCCGGUGGAUACUGUCGGGCUAGAGUGCGGAAGAGGCGAGUGGAAUUCCCGGCGUAGCGGUGAAAUGCGCAGAUAUCGGGAGGAACACCAAUGGCGAAGGCAGCUCGCUGGGACGGUACUGACGCUGAGGAGCGAAAGCGUGGGGAGCGAACAGG